GGAGAAGGACUGUAGCUCAGUGGCACAGCACCCACUUUGCGUGCAGAAGGUCCCAGGUUCAAUCCCUGAUGUCUCCA